CCUGUUCCGGGUUCUGGAGUGGAUCAUUCCCUCCGGAAUUCAGACCAGGCUGGGAGGCAGAUGCCGAAGGUAUGGAUGGUGAUUGGGAUG
rnacentral:rRNA from 1 species